rnacentral:rRNA from 1 species
GACGAACGCUGGCGGCAGGCCUAACACAUGCAAGUCGAACGCCGUAGCAAUACGGAGUGGCAGACGGGUGAGUAACACGUGGGAACGUACCCUUCGGUUCGGGAUAACUCAGGGAAACUUGAGCUAAUACCGGAUACGUCCGAGAGGAGAAAGAUUUAUCGCCGAGGGAUCGGCCCGCGUCUGAUUAGCUUGUUGGUGAGGUAACGGCUCACCAAGGCGACGAUCAGUAGCUGGCUGAGAGGAUGAUCAGCCACAUUGGGACUGAGACACGGCCCAAACUCCUACGGGAGGCAGCAGUGGGGAAUAUUGGACAAUGGGCGCAAGCCUGAUCCAGCCAUGCCGCGUGAGUGAUGAAGGCCCUAGGGUUGUAAAGCUCUUUUACCCGGGAAGAUAAUGACUGUACCGGGAGAAUAAGCCCGGCUAACUUCGUGCCAGCAGCCGCCGCUGUAAC